CCUACGGGUGGCAGCAGUCGAGAAUCAUUCACAAUGGGGGAAACCCUGAUGGUGCGACGCCGCGUGGGGGAAUGAAGGUCUUCGGAUUGUAAACCCCUGUCAUGUGGGAGCAAAUUAAAAAGAUAGUACCACAAGAGGAAGAGACGGCUAACUCUGUGCCAGCAGCCGCGGUAAUACAGAGGUCUCAAGCGUUGUUCGGAAUCACUGGGCGUAAAGCGUGCGUAGGCUGUUUCGUAAGUCGGGUGUGAAAGGUGCGGGCUCAACCCGCGGACGGCACAUGAUACUGCGAGACUAGAGUAAUGGAGGGGGAACCGGAAUUCGCGGUGUAGCAGUGAAAUGCGUAGAUAUCGAGAGGAACACUCGUGGCGAAGGCGGGUUCCUGGACAUUAACUGACGCUGAGGCACGAAGGCCAGGGGAGCGAAAGGGAUUAGAUACCCUUGUAGUC
rnacentral:rRNA from 1 species